rnacentral:rRNA from 1 species
ACGGAGGGUGCAAGCGUUAUCCGGAUUCACUGGGUUUAAAGGGUGCGUAGGCGGGCAGGUAAGUCAGUGGUGAAAUCCUGGAGCUCAACUCCAGAACUGCCAUUGAUACUAUCUGUCUUGAAUAUUGUGGAGGUAAGCGGAAUAUGUCAUGUAGCGGUGAAAUGCUUAGAUAUGACAUAGAACACCUAUUGCGAAGGCAGCUUACUACGCAUAUAUUGACGCUGAGGCACGAAAGCGUGGGGAUCAAACAGGAUUAGAUACCCUGGUAGUCCACGCCCUAAACGAUGGAUACUCGACAUAUGCGAUACACUGUAUGUGUCUGAGCGAAAGCAUUAAGUAUCCCACCUGGGAAGUACGUUCGCAAGAAUG